AGGAUAGUGGCGAAAUGUAAAGUACUGCAUAAUCGCGAAGAAAGGUGAGAAAAUUCGCGAGGAAGAGGGAUCGCAAAAUCAGCAGCAAGACGCCGAGAAAGAGAAGGAUUGCGAAAGGACAGCCGAAGCGGCGGAUUCGUGAACAUCAAACGAAUUAAAUCUCCGCGGCGAGUCGACCGCAGAAACUAAUAUCUCGGCGAGCUCUCUCGUUUCUUCCGUUCCUCGUCACUUCUACGUAGCCGUUUCAGCCUCCGCUUCUCUUUCCUCGACCACCGCGCCGCCCGCCAUCGUAUUUCUGGAUUCCGCUUCGAAAGAGAUUCGUGCCUGCGCCUGCGAGACAAAGUGGACGAUGACAAAAUUAUCGUCCACUUUUCCCGGUUGAAAACGCGUUUCUCAAAAAGAAAGAAAACCGGGGCCUGUAAACGUUUCGUUCGAACGAUGAGAGCAAAAUGAAAAAGAGGAUUGAGCAAAUGGGAAACGACAAGCACGACACAAGAAGCGAGCUCAUAAACCGAGGCAAAACGUUCACCUCUUCACGAUGGUUACAGGACUAUUUUUGCGGCAGCUUCACCUUAAACGGCCAUCAAAUGAUAAAGUAGCAACGAUACGAUGGUAAUUAUCGAGGUAAACGAGCUGGUACGAGCAUAAUUAGUUCCAACACUCGUAGCGAGGUGGCGUGUUGGACGCGUACAAUUAGACAAUUGCUUGGGAUUGGUUAUUGGGAAGAGUGUUCUCGAACGAAGAGAAAAAUGGUAUGGAGAAGAUUGUAAGAUAAGAAAAACGGGCUCGAUCAUUGAAGGCAUUAAAACGGUGGAUCUGUAUAGUUUACGGCAAUGUAAUAACACUUUCGGUAACCGCUAAACAGUUUGCUAUCCGCGGUAAUUAAGUCGUUUCCGGGCAUGGUUUAGAAAAGUGGUUGAACGUGUCUAUUUCACUGGAAGGAAAAACAAGCGUCGAUUCAACCGAAAAAAUCCGAACGAGGUGCAAGUUUGCGCGUAAAUCCGCCAUCUCCUUCCGUACUUGAGAGAAACCGUUACGAAAGUGGGUAAUAGGCGUUGUAAUAGAUAUUAUCUUGCUUGAUAGGUGUCGAUAUCGUGGCGGCGAAAGAUCGAAAUCAUGGUGUCUUCCUUGAGAUCGUACCCAUAUUUCCGGGUUCUUAAGUGGAAUCGAGCGAGCCCUAGUAGUAAUUUGAAUCUUGAAAGGAAGAAUUUGAAUAUCUUAUGGAGAUUUUGUUUUUUCCAUCAUUAUCCACUUGGAUGUUUUCAAAUAAUAAAUUCUAAAAGUUGAAAGAAAGAAGACGGUAUUGAAUGAUUAAUUAUUGAUAGAUAUUAGUUCGAAUUAUAAAGACAGAAACGACGAUGGAAGUUUAUCUGUAGAGGUUAAUUUCGUCUUGAAGAGGUUAAGUUGAAUACGAGAUAAAAUAACGCGUCUAAACGUGUAGCAAAUAAUUUAGACGAAUCGCAUAUUGUUUGAGGUUACUUGGUGAUUUAUCCGGAGAUCAAUUUUCCGGGGAUAAAGGAUUAAAAGAUCAUUCUAUUAAAAUUCCCGAUUUCUCACCAAUUAAUCACCGAUUUAUUACAUCACGUCGAUAAAUCAACGUUCACAAAAGCUGUGUUCUGUCCGCUUAUGACUAGUGAUUUUUGGUGAAUAAGAGCAAUACGAAGAUAAGAAGAAUUGAAGAAUGAAGGCAAAAGAUAUCGCGAUCGAGCGUUUAAACGUGUGCCAAAGAAUGACAGAAAGCGUUGCAUCCUUGAGGUGAACGUGCACGAAGGCAAGAUCGAUCAACGUUGUAGUUUUUAACCUGGACUGUACACUCGGGUUGCGCAGGUGUGACCGAUGGCGGCAUUCUUUGAUCCUGCAGGGACUCCACGGCUACCUUGUCCACGACUCAUCGGCCGCCUCUCUUUUUCGUCACUCGGUUCGAUUAUUUCCUAAUGGCUAACGCCAUCGCGAAAACGGCCGUCGCUAAUUUCGCCACUGUUUCCCGCCGCGUUCGGCUUCCUCUGCCAAGCUCGAGGAAUUGAUCGAGAUGGGCAAAAAAAAGGAUUGCGAGUGUGUCGCUGAAAACGAGCGCACGAUCAACUGUUCAAACGACUUUAUCGUUUAAGUACAGGUUGUUUCAAAAUGGGUGACAUGAUUUUAAUCGAUAAUAAGAUAGUAGGAUAUAUAAAUGAUAGUUGUAUUUAAAUUAAGACAUUGCUCAUUUUUUUUGAUUUUUGUAAUUUCCUUUUAGUUCCAUAAUUCAAAAGAAUUAUGACAUUGUAGGUAGAGAGUAAGAGAUAUCUUUUUCGCUCUUUAAUAUAAA